rnacentral:rRNA from 1 species
AGCGAACGUUUGCGGCGGGCCUAACACAUGCAAGUCGAACGCACUAGCAAUAGUGAGUGGCGCACGGUUGCGUAACACGUGGGUAAUCAACCCUUCAGCCUGGGAUAACGACUCGAAAGGGUCGCUAAUACCGGAUACGGCGCGAGAGGCUUCGGCUUCUCACGAGAAAGCCACGCAAGGGGCACUGAAGGACGAGCCUGCGGCCCAUCAGCUAGUUGGUGAGGUAAGAGCUCACCAAGGCUAAGACGGGUAGCUGGUCUGAGAGGAUGAUCAGCCACACUGGAACUGAGACACGGUCCAGACUCCUACGGGAGGCAGCAGUGGGGAAUAUUGCGCAAUGGGCGAAAGCCUGACGCAGCCACGCCGCGUGAGCGAUGAAGGCCUCGGGUCGUAAGACUCUGUGGGAGGAGACGAAGAAAGACCUGUGAAGAGCAGGCCUUGACGGUAGUCUCCUUA